GACGAACGCUGGCGGCGUGCUUAACACAUGCAAGUCGAACGAAGUGGCGAACGGGUGAGUAACGCGUAAUCAACCUGCCCUUCCGAGGGGGACAACAGUUGGAAACGACUGCUCAUACCGCAUACUGAAGGACGGGAUUGCGUCUGAUUAGCUAGUUGGAGGGGUAACGGCCCACCAAGGCGAUGAUCAGUAGCCGGUCUGGGAGGAUGAACGGCCACAUUGGGACGGAGCCACGGCCCAGACUCCUACGGGAGGCAGCAGGGGGGAAUCUUCCGCAAUGGACGAAAGUCUGACGGAGCAACGCCGCGUGAGUGAUGACGGCCUUCGGGUUGUAAAGCUCUGUUAAUCGGGACGCGGUACCGGAAGAGAAAGCCACGGCUAACUACGUGCCAGCAGCCGCGGUAAUAC
rnacentral:rRNA from 1 species